GUACAAUAAUAUUAAAGUAUCAAUUUCAUUAUCAACAAAGCAAUGGUAAAUCAAAAGAGCAUUGAAGAUUUAAAGUACCAUGUAUAGAAAUGACAUAUAGUCACAAAGAAUAUGUUUCUGCUUAUGUCUUUCAGGUACUUCUGGUUCUCCUUAUAUUUUGUUGUAUGCAUUUGGUUCAUUCAUAAUUUUUCUAUGUAUUGUAUUUAUCAUUUUCCAUCUUGUUCAGAGAAAGAAAAAGUCAGAGAAUGUGCCUGAAACCACACCCCAGCUGAGACAUCCUGAGGUGGAGUCCUUAGUAACCCGAUUUUUUCCUGCUCACAGAGCCAAGAACUCUGGAAUGUGUUAAAAUAAGAAGACUCCUCAUCAUUAACUCAAGUGGAAAAAAAAAAUCACAUCAUGAAAGAAGAGAUCAUUACAGAAUUGGUUGCUUGAAUAUAUAAUUUGAUACUAGAUACAUUGAUUGCUUGAAUAUAUAAUUUGAUUCUGGAUAAAAAAAUAAAUGUACAAUUGUUUUUUAUUUUUUUUAGUGUUUAUUUAUUUUUUAGAGAUAGAGUGGGGGAAGGGCAGACGGAGGGAGACACAAAAUCCGAAGCAGGCUCCAGGCUCUGAGCUGUCAGCACAGAGCCAGAUGCGAGGCUUGAACCCAUGAGGUGGAAGACCGUGACCUGAGCUGAAGUCAGAUGCUUAACCAACUGAGCCACCCAAGCACCCCACGUA